AACAGGCAGUUAACCCACUGUUCCCAGGCCGUCAUUGAAAAUAAGAAUUUGUUCUUAACUGACUUGCCUCGGUAAAUAAAGGUCAAAUAUAAAAAAUAAAAAUAAGGCGAAGCAGUAAUUGUUCCAAACAUCUGCCAUGUCACUGAUGCGUCGGGAAAACGGUAUAGUUUUUGGGGAUUUUUCCCCAGCCACAUCUGCAGAAGCAGGAAGAUUUAAGUCCUCCACAAUAGUAUGGAGCUUGCCUGUCCUAGCCACUUGGUAACUCAUCAAGACGCUUCUAGCCCCUUCUUAUUAAUGGUAUCUGCAGCUUUUAUACAUGUCUUACUCGAAAGUAGUCUCAACUCUCGCUCAAAAAAACUCCUGUGGCUUAUUUUUCAAAUUGGCAUGUUUUGUUUCUAAAUGUCUGCGCAAGAGUGAAGGUUUCAUUGAGUUGUGAGAUAUAAACACACUGUGGCUGAGGAAAGGCACAUCCCUGUCUGUUGUUUGGUGUUUUGCCGGAUAAGGAGGCAGUAGCUCUGACAGUUGUGAUUCUGAUGCAGCCCAGUGUCCAUGCUAGCUGGGCUAACAACACAUGGAGAAUUACUGAUGCUAGCAUUGGAUGUGCUUAUGGAAGCAGAACAACUUGUGUCGUUGACAGGUGCAGUGCUGCUGGUAGUACCAGUACUACCAGUAGAGCUGGGAUGUGUCUAUGGAAGCAGAACAACUUGUGUCGUUGACAGGUGCAGUGCUGCUGGUAGUACCAGUACUACCAAUAGAGCUGGGAUGUAUCUAUGGAAGCAGAACAACUUGUGUCGUUGACAGGUGCAGUACUGCUGGUAGUACCAGUACUACCAGUAGAGCUGGGAUGUAUCUAUGGAAGCAGAACAACUUGUGUCGUUGACAGGUGCAGUGCUGCUGGUAGUACCAGUACUACCAGUAGAGCUGGGAUGUAUCUAUGGAAGCAGAACAACUUGUGUCGUUGACAGCUGCAGUACUGCUGGUAGUACCAGUACUACCAGUAGAGCUGGGAUGUGUCUAUGGAAGCAGAACAACUUGUGUCGUUGACAGGUGCAGUGCUGCUGGUAGUACCAGUACUACCAGUAGAGCUGGGAUGUAUCUAUGGAAGCAGAACAACUUGUGUCGUUGACAGGUGCAGUACUGCUGGUAGUACCAGUACUACCAGUAGAGCUGGGAUGUAUCUAUGGA